rnacentral:pre_miRNA from 1 species
CAACUACUCCCUUCGUCCGGAAUUACUUGUCGCAUAAAUGAAUGAAAAUGAAUGUAUCUAAAAUUAAAAUACAUCUAAAUACAUUCAUUUUUUCAACAAGUAUUUUCGGACGGAGGGAGUACUAG